rnacentral:piRNA from 1 species
UGAAUAAUGUCUGUUUGAUUUGUGUC